CACACUAGAAUGGCUUUAAAAACAAGAUAAAAACGGCAUUUUUCCAUAAAAAAGUGUCACAGAGUCCAGGGAAGAACUUCAGACAUCACCACAAAGUAUGAAACGCGUGUGGCAGGGCACCUUUAACAUAAAGAAAUGUUGCACUA